CUACUUGGGAAGCUGAGGAGGGAAGAUCAGUUGAGCCUGGGAGGUCAAGGCUGCAGUGAGCCAUGAUGGUG